rnacentral:rRNA from 1 species
AUGGUGCAAGCAUGCAUGCCGUGCUGCUCUGAAGCUGCAGGCAGGCGACGCGGUCAUGGGGAUGGCAGACGACGCGGCAUGGAAAUGCCAAAGCUCAUGGCGUUGCUGGACAGGGCGGAAAGCCAAAGCCUCUGGCAUUUUCAGAAACGUGAACUAGCUCGGCGUUUCCAGCCUGCCACAUUAGCGAGUGGGGCCAGGGCAGCAACGCUAGCUGGCUCGGCGUUUCUAUGUGGGAAAGAAAAGCCACGGGCUAUGACGUUGCUAAAAGGGUCAGAUUAUGAAAUAAUUUUGCUUCAAGUUCAUUUUGUGCUAUGGUUUUCUGAUAAGGCCAGAAUAGUGAUUUUGGCCCCCUGA